CCGCCCUGCGAGCCAUGCCGGCAGUGCAGAAGACCGUCCCUCAGAUCGGUUAUUCCAUCGAAACGCUGCUGAUGCAGGAGGCCCUGUCCGGUAUCAGCUCCCUAAACAUCUCAAGCAAAGUAUCUGCCUGGGAGCUAGAACAACAGGCUCGGCCGAAGAAAUUCUUUGCAGUUCGCGAUGGUAAAGCAACUUUGGUUGAGGAGGAUUAGCUGCAGUCCCAAGUCAAUACGCCAGACGUCCUACCAUGUAUGCACGUUCGUCCCUGUAUCAAGUUGGUCUGUUCCUGUGUAAAAUAAUUGCAUCUCAUGUCACUGCUUCUUUCAUAUGUUCUAUCAUUAACUGAAGUAAGAAUGGUUUAUUCGGAAAACAUAUAGUACAAGAUGUCUAACAGUUGUAGCCGGUCGGCUGAAUUGAUGCCAGACCGGACAGCUUCAUACUUCGGAAUACAUUGCUUUUUUAUUCGAAAUUCUAAUACUUGUUGCUUUUACGUUGCUACUGCACUACAACAUUGUUCCAGCUGUGAACACAAAAUCCUCUUCUGUCCUCCUGCAAAAUUAAUACCAUGCAAAAGCAAUUGAAUUUACAAUAAUACAAAUACAUGCGUCGUUUCCGUUUCUACUGUGAAAUUAAGACCUCCAAGAAAUGAAUGGAUUUACAGUAACAAAAAAAGGUGAACCUUGUAUAUUAUGCAUAUUAUGGCAUAUUGUAUGUUUCUUGUAAAAACAGCAGAUAGUGAUUAUGAUGUUAUUGUGAUUGGUAAUUUUCUAACUUAAUGUACUACCAGUGGUUUGAAAAUAUUUCCUCUAAAUAUGAUGUUUCUCGACAAUAUCUCAACAUCUGUAAAAUUUGUGUAUGACAGUAAUAAGAUUGUGGGUGUACGUAUUACUUAUUUUAUUAUCACCAAGAAUGCAUGUAUAACUGCAUAUGCACACUUUUAAAGUAUACACAAAUAGCAUGGCUUCUCAACCAUAUUGCAACAUCAGUUCUGUAAAAUUUGUGGACGGCAUAAGACUGUUAUAAGAUUGCGUAUUACGUAUUGUAGUGAUAUCACAGUAAUAUCACAGAGAAUUCCUGUAUAGGUGCAUAAUUACACUUAUGUAUAUUAUGUACACAUAGCAUAUUGCUUCUCAACAGUAUUUCAACAUCUGUAAAAUUUGUGCACAGCGCACGCAUUUAUAAGAUUGUGUGUGUACGUACUGUUACAUAUGGUAGUGGUAUCACGGUGAUAUCACAGAGAAUGUCCGCAUAGCUGCAUAAGUACAGGCAAGUAUAUACACAUAGCAUGUACGUAUAUUAUGUUUUGCACAUUUUGCUCUGAUGUAUGUAGGUUUUUGGCGAUUAAUUGUGGGUUUACGAAUUACAUAUGGUAGUGGUAUCACGGUAAUAUCGCAGAGAAUGCCUGUAUAGCUGCAUAAGUACACUUAUGUAUGUAUAUUAUGUACACAUUGCAUGAAGCAUGUUUUGUACAUUUUACUUUGACGUAUAUUUUGUUGCGAUAUCUGUAGCUUUAUGAUUUAUCCACUAUAUACAUUUCCAUAAAUGUUUAUAUAAUGGUGCAAUUCUUAUCACAUCCAAGCCAUUCAAAAUCAUACACUCAUUAUUAUCAAUACCAGAAAAAAAUGUAUUUCUUAUUUUAAAUCGGUCCCAACUUCUUGACGACAAUGCGGGGCCAGCAUUGUUCUGAGAGGAGUUGGGGCACUUUGAAAAGUUCUUGUUGUUCCAGGGGGCCACUGAAAUAACAAGGACUUUUCUUACACCAUUACUUCAUUUUUCGAUCUUCCGUAAAAGCAAAAAUACAUAAUUAAAAAAAAAA